ACUGAAUAGAUACCCUGGUAGUCCACGCCGUAAACGAUGGAUACUAGCUGUUCGGAGCAAAUCUGAGUGGCUAAAGCGAAAGUGAUAAGUAUCCCACCUGGGGAGCACGCACGCAAGUGUGAAACUCAAAGGAAUUGACGGGGGCCCGCACAAGCGGUGGAGCAUGUGGUUUAAUUCGAUGAUACGCGAGGAACCUUACCAGGGCUUAAAUGUAGAUUGACAGGACUGGAAACAGUUUUUCUUCGGACAAUUUACAAGGUGCUGCAUGGUUGUCGUCAGCUCGUGCCGUGAGGUGUCAGGUUAAGUCCUAUAACGAGCGCAACCCCUGUCGUUAGUUGCCAGCGAGUCAUGUCGGGAACUCUAACGAGACUGCCAGUGUAAACUGUGAGGAAGGUGGGGAUGACGUCAAAUCAUCACGGCCCUUACGUCCUGGGCCACACACGUGCUACAAUGGUAGGUACAGAGAGCAGCCACUGCGCGAGCAGGAGCGAAUCUACAAAACCUAUCUCAGUUCGGAUC
rnacentral:rRNA from 1 species